rnacentral:rRNA from 1 species
UACGUAGGGGGCAAGCGUUGUUCGGAAUUACUGGGCGUAAAGGGCUCGUAGGCGGCCAACUAAGUCAGACGUGAAAUCCCUCGGCUUAACCGGGGAACUGCGUCUGAUACUGGAUGGCUUGAGGUUGGGAGAGGGAUGCGGAAUUCCAGGUGUAGCGGUGAAAUGCGUAGAUAUCUGGAGGAACACCGGUGGCGAAGGCGGCAUCCUGGACCAAUUCUGACGCUGAGUGAGCGAAAGCCAGGGGAGCAAACGGG